ensembl:snoRNA
CCAGCACUUUCACAGUUCCUCCCUAGGAAGUGGGGCCAGGAUUUCGUAGCUGGUGCUGGAAGAAAACCCUUAAUUGCAUCUUUGCCCUGGAAUUUACCAGUGGCAGGUGACACUCAAGGGAACAGCA